AGUGAACGCUGGCGGCGUGCUUAACACAUGCAAGUCGAACGAGAACGGAUUAUAGCUUGCUAUAAUUGUCAGCUAAGUGGCGCACGGGUGAGUAAUGUAUAGGUAAUAUGCCUCUUACUAAGGGAUAACAAAUGGAAACGUAUGCUAAUACCUUAUACUCCUUAUUAACAUAAGUUAAUAAGGGAAAGAUUUAUUGGUAAGAGAUUAGCCUGUAUUGUAUCAGUUAGUUGGUGGGGUAAUGGCUUACCAAGACUAUGACACAUAACUGGUUUGAGAGGAUGAUCAGUCACACUGGAACUGAGACACGGUCCAGACUCCUACGGGAGGCAGCAGUGGGGAAUAUUGCACAAUGGACGAAUGUCUGAUGCAGCAACGCCGCGUGGAGGAUGACACAUUUCGGUGCGUAAACUCCUUUUAUAUGAGAAGAUAAUGACGGUAUUAUAUGAAUAAGCACCGGCUAACUCCGUGCCAGCCGCCGCAGUAAGAC
rnacentral:rRNA from 1 species